AGAACGAACGCUGGCGGCAGGCUUAACACAUGCAAGUCGAACGCGUGUAGCAAUACACGAGUGGCGCACGGGUGAGUAACGCGUGGAUACCUGCCUUUUGGUUCGGAAUAACCCCGGGAAACUGGGGCUAAUACCGGAUGGUUCCUACGGGAUAAAGAUUUAUCGCCAAAAGAUGAGUCCGCGUACGAUUAGCUAGUUGGUGAGGUAAUGGCUCACCAAGGCGACGAUCGUUAGCUGGUCUGAGAGGACGAUCAGCCACACUGGGACUGAGACACGGCCCAGACUCCUACGGGAGGCAGCAGUGGGGAAUAUUGGACAAUGGGGGCAACCCUGAUCCAGCCAUGCCGCGUGAGUGAUGAAGGCCUUCGGGUUGUAAAGCUCUUUCGCUCGGGACGAUAAUGACGGUACCGAGAUAAGAAGCCCCGGCUAACUUCGUGCCAGCAGCCGC
rnacentral:rRNA from 1 species